GACGAACGCUGGCGGCGCGCCUAACACAUGCAAGUCGAACGGAGCUGAGAGAAGCUUGCUUUUCUUAGCUUAGUGGCGAACGGGUGAGUAACGCGUGAGUAACCUGCCCUGGAGUGGGGGACAACAGUUGGAAACGACUGCUAAUACCGCAUAAGCCCACGAUCCGGCAUCGGAUUGAGGGAAAAGGAUUUAUUCGCUUCAGGAUGGACUCGCGUCCAAUUAGCUAGUUGGUGAGGUAACGGCCCACCAAGGCGACGAUUGGUAGCCGGACUGAGAGGUUGGGCGGCAAAAUUGGGAGAGAAGACCCGCCCAGGACCCCGAGGGGGGGGAGGGGGGGGGGAUAUGGAAAAAGGGGGGAAACCUGGAGGAGGCGGGGCGGGGGGAAGGAAGAGGUUUUUGGAAUGAAAAACUCCGGUGGUAAGGAACGAAAAGGACGGUACUAAAAAAGAAAGCCCCGGCAAACUACGGC
rnacentral:rRNA from 1 species